rnacentral:rRNA from 1 species
UACGGAGGGUGCGAGCGUUGUCCGGAAUCACUGGGCGUAAAGGGCGCGUAGGCGGCUCAUGAAGGCUGUGGUGAAAGUCCGGGGCUCAACCUCGGAUCGGCCGUGGCGACUCGUGGGCUGGAGCACUGUAGAGGCGGGCGGAAUUCCGGGUGUAGCGGUGGAAUGCGUAGAGAUCCGGAAGAACACCAGUGGCGAAGGCGGCCCGCUGGGCAGUGGCUGACGCUGAGGCGCGACAGCGUGGGGAGCAAACAGG